rnacentral:SRP_RNA from 1 species
CCGUGCUAGACGGGGAAUUAGCGGUGCCUUGUAACCUGCAACCCGCUGCAGCAGGGUCGAAUUCCUGGGCUGAGGGUAUACUUUGUAAGGUCUGGCUUGAAUAAGUGGCGUUGAUACUUGGGUCCUUCGCAAUGAGACAUCUCGAACCGUGUCAGAUCCGGAAGGAAGCAGCACUAAGUGAUCCAUCUUAUGUGACGAAGGGGAGCCUGGGUGGAGUUAACUGUUCAGGUAACGCUUGGAAGGUAUAUUCGAAGCCAGGUGCACGG